rnacentral:rRNA from 1 species
GGGCCCGCACAAGCGGUGGAGCAUGUGGUUUAAUUCGAAGCAACGCGAAGAACCUUACCAGGGCUUGACAUCCCUUGACCGCUGUAGAGAUACAGCUUUCCUUCGGGACAAGGAGACAGGUGGUGCAUGGUUGUCGUCAGCUCGUGUCGUGAGAUGUUGGGUUAAGUCCCGCAACGAGCGCAACCCUUGCCUUUAGUUGCCAUCAUUAAGUUGGGCACUCUAGAGGGACUGCCGGCGAUAAGUCGGAGGAAGGUGGGGAUGACGUCAAAUCAUCAUGCCCCUUAUGUCCUGGGCUACACACGUGCUACAAUGGUCUAUACAGAGGGCAGCGAAGUGGUGACACGGAGCGAAUCCCAGAAAAUAGAUCUCAGUUCGGAUUGUAGGCUGCAACUCGCCUACAUGAAGUCGGAAUCGCUAGUAAUCGCAGGUCAGCAUACUGCGGUGAAUACGUUCCCGGGCCUU